CAAAGGAAGCGAUUCCGGCGGGGGAUGGGCAUGCGGCGCAUUAGCUAGUCGGCGGGGUAACGGCCCACCGAGGCGACGAUGCGUAGGGGUUCUGAGAGGAAGGUCCCCCACACUGGUACUGAGACACGGACCAGACUCCUACGGGAGGCAGCAGUGAGGAAUAUUGGUCAAUGGGCGGGAGCCUGAACCAGCCAAGUCGCGUGAGGGAAGACGGUCCUACGGAUUGUAAACCUCUUUUGCCGGGGAGCAACGGGGUCCUUGCGAGGGCCCAAUGAGAGUACCCGGAGAAAAAGCAUCGGCUAACUCCGUGCCAGCAGCCGCGGUAAUACGGAGGAUGCGAGCGUUAUCCGGAUUUAUUGGGUUUAAAGGGUGCGUAGGCGGGCUGUUAAGUCAGCGGUCAGAUGUCGGGGCUCAACCCCGGCCUGCCGUUGAAACUGGCGGCCUCGAGUGGGCGAGAAGUAUGCGGAAUGCGUGGUGUAGCGGUGAAAUGCAUAGAUAUCACGCAGAACUCCGAUUGCGAAGGCAGCAUACCGGCGCCCGACUGACGCUGAGGCACGAAAGCGUGGGUAUCGAACAGGAUUAGAUACCCUGGUAGUCCACGCAGUAAACGAUGAAUGCUAGCUGUCCGGGACUUCGGUCCUGG
rnacentral:rRNA from 1 species